AAUUUUACACUGUUGAUUAUCCAGUUCCAUAAAGCAGCCCACCUUUAACUUUUCCUUUCCCUUUCAUCCAUCGAAGAAGAGCAACUCCCAAUUUCUAGACACUGUUGAGCUUCAAAAGAUCAGUCUUUUUCCUUUUUAGCAACUUUCACUAUUUGUAUCACUAACCCUACUCGCUGCUAGGAUCCGUGGAAGCAAAAUCCUACAAUUUAAAAACUUCUCAAAAACCUUAGAAUUCUCUUCAUCGUAACCUUACUCUUUGCAGAUACUAUCCUCUCAAUUAUUGAGUUAUUUCAUAUGUGAGAUCUGGUUUUCAAUCGGCUUCUCCUUCUUCCAACGAGCCUUCACUUUCCCUUCGUGAGUUUCUCUGUCUUGAUGGAUUUUCAGAAACAAUAUCACAGAUUUGAUCGAAAUCGAUUUUUCAUUCCUCUUCCAUUUAAGGGGUUUAGGCACUGAUAUUGUACAACAUUUUUAUAUUCUCGAUUAAAAUUCAAGAUUUUAAUUUUUAUUAAAUCAUUAAAAUUUGUUCCUCUAAUUUUUCUUUCUCGAGUCUUAAAUUGUGUCUUUGCAUUCUUCUAUGUUCUCGAUGAACAAGAACAUAUGAAGAUUUUUUAUUUGCACUCUACACUAUCUUCUAUUAGCAGUUACUUAUUUUUGAAAGUUGUCUAACUUUCUACCACUCACCCGCCUCUCUGAGUAGCUGAAGGACUUUGUUUGAAGCCCCAAAUUUGGGUACAUAAUAGUGUUCAUCCUUAUCCUAUAUUUUGUGGCUUCAUAUUGAGACAAUGAUAUGACUUUCAAUCAAGUAGUCUUCGAAAUAAUAGUUAAACCACAUAUUAUUAUAUUUGAGAAGAUUUAAUGGUUUCUUGAACAUAGAUUUAAUGACAUUAAGUGUAUGUUUGACUCAUGAAUCAUAUAGCACUGUUGAAUCUCUAUGUAGUUUUAGAUGCUGUUAUUAAAUAAUUCUCAUUAAACUUCAAAGAGUCAUUCUUUGAAGAGUAAAGAACGUUGUUGGGAUUGUUGAAAAUUGGUUGACUAACUAAUUUAUUAACCAAUAUUGAUGUUAUCUUUUCAUAUGCUGAUGUGAUAUGCUAAUUGGGUUUUAGCUUGAUAGUUAGAAUAAUUUUGCAUAAGAGGAUUGGUAAAAUCACUACAAUCAAAUCUCUAUUUUAUGUAAAAUUAUUUCGAUGUUUCGCACUAUUUUAGUCACUUUUAUAGCAAUCUAAUUUCAUCCAAAUAGAAAAUGAAGCUAGCAUCACAUUUAUCAUGAUCAUACUUGGGAUUUUAUUGCUGAAGGGGAGGUUUAUAUUUGAUUUGUUAUCUUUAAGCAUUUAAUUGAUUUUCUUCACUUUUAUAUCCUAGUUUAUAUGUAGAUGUUUAGCUUCUAUAUUUUACCCCUGUUUGGCGGUUGCUUGAUGUUCUUCCUUCAAAAGCUAUAAAUUGAGAGAUUUAUUUGACAACAGAAGGGGAGUCGAAUAGAGUGAAAUCUUGCUCAGAUUUGAUUUGGGGCAUCAAUAAAUUAUCUUUGCUCAAAAUAGUAACUUUAUUCAUUUAUUUUAAUUUUUUGAGUAGCCAUCCGAUGUAGUUGGUAAGGUGUUGUUCGGAGUUCAAAUCUCUGAUGCAAAGCUGAGAGCCUUAAUCAAAGGUAAUGAAAGAGCAAAUUGAUAAAAAAAAAUCCCUUAUUAUGCUAUUUAAUUUCCUUUUAUAGAUAAGUUUGCUAGAUUUGUGUCAUUCUAUAAUAGAUUUAAGUAGUGUUAAUUGAAAGUUGAUAAAUUAAGUGGGAAAGUAGUCUCCUUAUUCUUUUAAGUGAUUUUGAAUCCAAUUGGAGUGCAAAUGUGCACUUGGUAAUUAGUAGUUGUGAUUUAAGUGUAGUAGAGUUCUGCCAAUGUGGUCGGAUAUUCCCCGUUUGGUUUGGGUUUUUUUCUUGUAGUAUUAUGUCUCUCUUGUUUUAGAAACAUUUGAGAAAGUAUAGAGAAAAAGAACAUGUUUAGAAUGAUGUUCAAUCAGCUGAUUUGUAAAGGAACCGGCAAAUAGAAGAAUAGAAAAUAAAGUUACUACAUCAAAUAUCUUUAGGCUCUUGGCUUGUUAUAUCUUUCCUUUGAAGGUCAAAAUUAAAAUAAACCAGUAUUCUUUAGUCAAAAUUAUACAUGAAAUGGCCCGGUAAUCAAUAACAUUCUCCACAUCAACUUGUGAUUUAGAUUUAAGUCAAUUCCUAAGGUUGUUUGGAUACUUUUGUUAAAUAUUUGGUAUGAUCAUUAAAUUCUAAUUAACUAUUGUGUUUACUACUUUUAGGAAACCUUGUUCAGGCUAUAAACUAAAGGAGAUGUCUGGCAACAAAAUUUUGUAGUUGAUGAUGAAAAUGAGGAAUUGGAAUCUAGAACUUCUAAUAAUCGAACAUAUGUGCUUAUUGUGCAGGAAGUUACGAAUGAUACGAGCAAGAUUUCCUUAAAUACGGAAGAGAAGUUUUCUCUUAAGAAGUCAACUACUGUUCCCGAGGUUGUAAUAUAUUAUGUUCUUUAAAUUUUUGCUUUUUCCUUGGUUUGAAAUUGUUCUUUAGUUUGAGUAAUCUCAGUUUGAAUUUUUGUAUUCCCAAAUAUAAUACCACUAUAUGUUUGUCAAAAUCGGAACUAUUUAUUUGUCUAUAAUUCUUAGCCAUAUGUUAUAUGGUUACUUUUCAAGCACAAUUGUUUGCUUAUAUCAUAAAAAUAGAGAGAAUUUGUAUUGCAAAAUUGAUUUUCAUCCUCCGAAGAUGACAAAGCCAACAAUCUGGCUAGGAAGAGGUUAGAUCUCUAUUUCUGGUCGCAGUUUCAGUUUAGUUACUAUUUCUUUUUUUUGUGUUGAAGUCUUCUUAUUUGAUUGUUGACAUACGAGUUUUGCGACUUUAAUCCCGACCGGCAAGUCCAAACUCUAAGACCACUUCAAUAAUUACAUUUAUCCUUGUCUCCCUUUUCGCUUCCACUAUGGCACCACUUUUUCUAAUCCCAUCCACCUACUCUACCAUAUAGGGUUGCAUGUGGACGACAAGCUAAUGUCGAGGAAAUGGGACAAGGGCUGAGCCGUGGACAAUUCCAAGAAAAUGAUCUAUUUGUUGCAGUCCAAAUUGGAGAGCUUGAAACAGUUGAAGCAAAGGCCAAUGAGAACCCAAAUUUGUUGAGAGUGAAAACCAUUCAUAGGAAACUUUCUGCACUGUAUUUUGUUGUUAGGCAGAUCGAGGUGGGUUUUCUGUGAUUUAUGAUUAUUUGUAUUUUCUCAUUUUAUUUGACUUAAGUCUGUACAUUUUGAUCAAA